rnacentral:tRNA from 1 species
UAAGGUGUAGCUCAGUGGCAAAGUGUGUGCUCAGCAUGCACAAGACCUUGGGUUCCAUCCUCAGCAGCAUCC